UACGAAGGGGGCUAGCGUUGCUCGGAAUCACUGGGCGUAAAGGGCGCGUAGGCGGCUUUGUAAGUCGGGGGUGAAAGCCUGUGGCUCAACCACAGAAUUGCCUUCGAUACUGCAUGGCUUGAGACCGGAAGAGGUAAGUGGAACUGCGAGUGUAGAGGUGAAAUUCGUAGAUAUUCGCAAGAACACCAGUGGCGAAGGCGGCUUACUGGUCCGGAUCUGACGCUGAGGCGCGAAAGCGUGGGGAGCAAACAGG
rnacentral:rRNA from 1 species